rnacentral:rRNA from 1 species
GAUGAACGCUGACAGAAUGCUUAACACAUGCAAGUCUUUGGCGAAGCUGUGCUUGCACAGCCUAGCCAAGGCGGGCGGGUGAGUAACGCGUAAGGAACUUGCCCUGCAGUCAGGGAUAACAGACGGAAACGACUGAUAAGACCUGGUAAAGUCAGGCGGACUCAUGUCCAGCCUGAUGAAAAGUGAUGCUGCAGGAGAGCCUUGCGUCCUAUUAGCUUGUUGGUGGGGUAACGGCCCACCAAGGCGAUGAUAGGUAGCCGGCCUGAGAGGGUGGACGGCCACAAGGGGACUGAGAUACGGCCCUUACUCCUACGGGAGGCAGCAGUGGGGAAUAUUGGACAAUGGGGGCAACCCUGAUCCAGCAAUUCUGUGUGCACGAUGAAGGUUUUCGGAUUGUAAAGUGCUUUCAGCAGGGAAGAAAAAAAUGACGGUACCUGCAGAAGAAGCGACGGCUAAAUACGUG